ACCCCAGAGUGCAGUCUGGACGUUGGGGCUGGGCGACACUUCGAGGCGGAGCGACACGUGUCGCCCCGCCCAUAUUUGUUUUCCCCGCCUUUGACAUUUUGCUCCGAGCCAGCAGGGGGCAGUUUGCGUUGAAACAAACAGAACGGUGGCAACUGCAGCAGCAGAGUAAAAACGCUAUUUCACGUUGAUUGCAUGAGGUGAGUAAAAGUGGUUGUGUAAAUAUCUUAUAAUAUUAAAUGCGAUGUUCGAUCAUUUAUUUAUCCAUGGUACGUUCAAUUUGAAUAAUUAUUGUUAAUAAUUGUUAUAAAUUGCUCUUUUAUUGUUCUUUGUGGAUUGUAACAGUACACUUUGUACAUGGCUUUAGUUCUUAGGUUUGAUUUUACAGAGGUAUGCCAUUACAUUUGUCAAGUUAUUUGAACAGACAUGCAUGAUUAUUGUGUGUAUAUUAUUAUUAUUAUUAUUUUUCAGGAUGACAUGAUCAGGAGGUGGUGGUGUUCUGUUCUCCUGGACAGCUUCACUCCGCAAAUAGCUCAACCACUGAGGGGAGGAACUUCACCAUACAAAAGACAAUGUCUUCAGGCAGAGUCGAGCAAAGCAGCUUCCCCUGGAAAUCCUCAGUUAAUUUUAUUUUUUCAGCGGGUGACUCUGCAUAUUUGACACUUUCUCUGGUUUGCAGAUGGUUUAGUGAUGUGCUCACUCAAGAAGUUUUUCGGAAAGCGGCACAGUUUGCCUGGCUAGACAUUGUGGCCAACUGGAAGAAUUGUCCUCCUGUCUCCUGACCGGAACGAGUUCAGACGGAUGUACAGCAUCAGGGAAUGCUUGCAGUGCAGAGCCCUUUUCAAGUUUUACCCACCAGGGUACAGGGAAGAGGCCGGUGUGGUGAUCUUCUGGGCUUUUGUUUACACAGGAUUUUGUUCCAAGGACAUGAAAACACAUUUGUGUGUUAAAUUCAUUGAAGGGAAAUAGAGAAUGGACUGAGAUCAACUGGUUUUGAUGUAUUAAUUGAUGUCAUUUAAAGUUAAACUUUGCAGUGUAUAAUGUUUUAAUAAAAAAGCUAUGGCAAACA